AGAAGGGCGACCUCACAUUUGAUGCCUUUUGUCUCCCUGAACCAAAGACUCCCUCUCCUUCCCUUUCCUUCCACGCUCAUUGCUUUCUCUUUAGCCCCAGUAAAGCAGCGUGAGAGAGAAAACAAACUGAUUUCUUCUUCCGGGGGUACCCCGGAGCAUCGCUGCAGACCCCGGCAGGCGGCGGAGCCGACGCGCCCCGGGAGUGCGGAGAGGUUGCGGAACGUGCGCCCUCCUCCUCCAGCUUCCCCUGCCGCGCGUCCCGCAACCUCUCCGGCUUCCCAGAGAGCCGGAUGCAGCCGGAGGGUCAGGCUGGCGGCUGGGGUCCCGCGGGCGGAAGUGAGAAGAGCGGCGGGGGAGGAGGCUGCGGGCUGGGGGCUGGGAUUCCCUUCCCGCCUGGCGCCGCCCGGGAGAGCCCGCGCGAAGACGCCUGGCGCGCUGCGGCCGUCCUUUUUUGGCGCUGAGAGAAAGGAGAAGGGCAGCGCCGCCGCCUCGCGGGAGCGGACCCUGGGAGGAGGGGCCGCCGGAGAGGCCGGGCGAGCGCGGGCGGCCCUCACCUCGCUGCUCCUCCUGGGCCGCCAUCCCUCGGCGCCUCACCCGGAACCGGCGCGCGCGUGGGGGCGGGGAAGCCGGCGCGCAGAUCUGGCGGUGAGCGCCGCAGCCCUGGGGCCCCCAGCCAUGUCGGCCGAGGAGAUGGUGCAGAUCCGCCUGGAGGACCGCUGCUACCCGGUGAGCAAGAGGAAGCUCAUCGAGCAGAGCGACUACUUCCGCGCCCUCUACCGCUCCGGCAUGCGCGAGGCCCUGAGCCAGGAGGCCGGCGGCCCGGAGGUGCAGCAGCUGCGCGGCCUCAGCGCGCCAGGCCUGCGGCUGGUCCUGGACUUCAUCAACGCCGGCGGGGCCCGCGAAGGCUGGCUCCUGGGCCCGCGCGGGGAGAAGGGCGGCGGGGUGGACGAGGACGAAGAGAUGGACGAGGUGAGCCUGCUGUCCGAGCUGGUGGAGGCGGCCUCCUUCCUGCAGGUCACGUCCCUGCUGCAGCUGCUGCUGUCCCAGGUGCGGCUUAACAACUGCCUGGAGAUGUACCGCCUGGCGCAGGUGUACGGGCUGCCCGACCUGCAGGAGGCCUGUCUGCGCUUCAUGGUCGUCCACUUCCACGAGGUGCUGUGCAAGCCCCAGUUCCACCUCCUGGGAUCUCCUCCCCAAGCCCCAGGGGAUGUCAGCCUGAAGCAGAGGCUGAGGGAGGCCCGGAUGACUGGGACUCCUGUCCUCGUGGCCCUUGGGGACUUCCUGGGGGGACCCCUGGCCCCUCACCCCUACCAGGGGGAGCCCCCGUCCAUGCUCAGGUACGAGGAAAUGACUGAGCGCUGGUUCCCUCUGGCCAACAACCUUCCUCCCGACCUGGUCAAUGUCAGGGGCUAUGGGUCCGCCAUCCUGGACAACUACCUCUUCAUAGUGGGCGGGUACAGGAUCACCAGUCAGGAGAUCUCCGCUGCGCAUUCCUACAACCCCAGCACCAACGAAUGGCUCCAGGUGGCCUCCAUGAACCAGAAGAGGUAAGCACCCCGGCAGAGUGCUAAUGCCUUCUCAUUCAUUCACUUGUUCAUUAGUUCAUUGCCCCAGUGUUUACUGAGCCAGUAAAUAGGGAAGGGUGUGCUGAGGUGGAAAUGACAUCUUCAGGAAUGUUGGCCUUAGUCCUGGUAAAAUCCCCAGUGAACUAAGAAAUUGCAAAGAGGAAGUCCCCAGUGAGGUCAAGUAGCUGAGUGGUUUUUUGGCAGGUAUUGUGCCUUUAGGUGAAACUGCUUUCUGUGGCUCUGUCCUCGUGAAAAAAGAUGUUGUGGUUUCCUACAAGAAUACUUUAAAAGAAAAUUACUCCUUAAUUAAAAAAAUUUUUGUCUUAGUUUUUAGGAUCUGAUCCUGAUGAUAAUGAUACAUUAGACAAUAACCUGUAACACUGACUUUUUUUUUUUUUCCUGUUGUCAGUGACUGUGACAACAGAGCCUUCCACACUGUGACACCCAUCCAUGAUCAAGAGAUAAUUACGGGAAAUGUAUUUAUAUUUGCAGUAGGGGUUGCUUUUCUUAUUUUUUUUUUAUCUUCUCUUUUGCUUCCUUCCCUGGACAGCCAUCAUCACUGACCCAAAGCUUGAGGCUGGAAGUGUUCAACUUCAGAAUUGGACAUUUUCAUUAACCCAAUCUUCUCCCCCUCCCAUCCUGCGAAUCCCUCCUGCCAACAACAUGGGUGACUUGAAGAAAGGAAGAGGAGGAGCUUGGGGAGUGGGAUGAGAGGGAAGAAGGGAAAGGAACCAGGGAAAGAAUAUGAAAACAAGAGCAAAGAGCAUAUACAGGAACAGAUGGUAGGAAAUAAAGAUAGUAGCACCCAGGAGGCCUCAGAGUCAUUCGGAAGCGGGGAAAAUAAUCCAUGUAUCUCAAGAAAGGAUGAAAAUACCCUUUCUUACCAUCCACCUGUUUCCAUCUCAGUCCUCACAGGAUCCUGGUCCUGAAGUGUGGAGCAAGGAGUUGGGGAACUCACAGCUAGGCAAAGAAAGUCUUAACAGUAACAGUGAAGCCAUUAUAUAUCUAUUGGACUUGAGAGUCCUCCUAUGCCGGGGAUCAUUUGGGUAAAUAACUGGCGUGCUUUCUCCUAUAAUAUGAGAUUCAUUUUGAAAAGUAUGCUUUUUUUUUUUUUGCCUGAUAAUAUAUAGUUGCAGAAAACUAGAAAAUGAAAAAUAAUGGAGAAGCAAAAAGAUGAUUAUUUCUACUCACUCCUCCUAGAGGCAGUAACUGCAGGUUGGCAUAUUUCCUGCCAGCACAUUUUUAAUGCAUUAUUUACACCGUUGAGAUGAUGCCAUGUUUAAAAUUUGGUACCAGGAGUGUUAUUUUAAAACAAAUUGUAUGUGCUGUAAUUGAAACAACAAAGGAACAUUGUGUGGCUAUAGGCGGUGGUCUGAGUAGGGGUGGACAGCCCUGAGUUCGCUGUCUCCUUUUGCACUUGCCUCCAGCUACACAUCAUUUGGUGCUCACCAGGCCAUCCUUAGUGCCACAGUGCCUCACAGUUCUUUCUUCCCUUCAUACAUCCUUGGUAGUCUUUGUCUUUUUUUCUGGGAAGGCCCUUUUCAUCCCCUUAAUGCUUAAAAAAAAAAAAAGCAUUCAAGUAAUGCGUGAAUGCAUGCUUCUUAGAAAAACUGCACAUUACACAAAAAAGUCUAGAGUAAAUGUCUGCCCUCAGGGUACAGAAAGAAAAAAAA